UUGAGGGUUGGCCUUUUAACAUGCAAGGUCGAACGGUAACAGGGAGCUUGCUCCGCUGACGAGUGGCGAACGGGUGAGUAAUACAUCGGAACGUGCCCAGUAAUGGGGGAUAGCUCGGCGAAAGCCGGAUUAAUACCGCAUACGCCCUGAGGGGGAAAGUGGGGGACCGCAAGGCCUCACGUUAUUGGAGCGGCCGAUGGCUGAUUAGCUAGUUGGUAGGGUAAAGGCCUACCAAGGCGACGAUCAGUAGCUGGUCUGAGAGGACGAUCAGCCACACUGGGACUGAGACACGGCCCAGACUCCUACGGGAGGCAGCAGUGGGGAAUUUUGGACAAUGGGGGAAACCCUGAUCCAGCAAUGCCGCGUGUGCGAAGAAGGCCUUCGGGUUGUAAAGCACUUUUGUCAGGGAAGAAAUCCUUUGGGCUAAUACCCUAGGGGGAUGACGGUACCUGAAGAAUAAGCACCGGCUAACUACGUGCCAGCAGCCGCGGUAAUACGUAGGGUGCAAGCGUUAAUCGGAAUUACUGGGCGUAAAGCGUGCGCAGGCGGUUGUGUAAGACAGGUGUGAAAUCCCCGGGCUUAACCUGGGAAUUGCAUUUGUGACUGCACG
rnacentral:rRNA from 1 species